GACGAACGCUGGCGGCGUGCCUAAUACAUGCAAGUAGAACGCUGAAGGAGGAGCUUGCUUCUCCAGAUGAGUUGCGAACGGGUGAGUAACGCGUAGGUAACCUGCCUGGUAGCGGGGGAUAACUAUUGGAAACGAUAGCUAAUACCGCAUAGGAGUAGAUGUCGCAUGACAUUUGCUUAAAAGGUGCAGCUGCACCACUACCAGGUGGACCUGCGUUGUAUUAGCUAGUUGGUGAGGUAACGGCUCACCAAGGCAAGGAUACAUAGCCGAACUGAGAGGGUGAUAGGCCACACUGGGACGUAGACAGGGCCCAGACGACUACGGGAGGCAGCAGUAGGGAAUCGGCGGCAAUGGACGGAAGUCUUACCGAGCAACGCCGCGUGAGUGAAGAAGGUGUUCGGAUCGUAAAGCUCUGUUGUAAGAGAAGAACGAGUGUGGGAGUGGAAAGUUCACACUGUGACGGUAUCUGACCAGAAAGAGACGGCUAACUACGUG
rnacentral:rRNA from 1 species